ensembl:misc_RNA Metazoa_SRP Metazoan signal recognition particle RNA
GCUGGGCGUGGUAGCUCAUGCCUGUAAUCCCAACACUUUGGGAGGCUGAGGCAGGUGGAUCACCUGAGGUCAGGAGUUUGAGACCAGCCUGGCCAACAUGGUGAAACCCUGUCUCUA